AGCGAAGCAUUCCGAUUGAGGACCUAGG
rnacentral:piRNA from 1 species